CCUACGGGCGGCAGCAGUGAGGAAUAUUGGUCAAUGGGCGCUAGCCUGAACCAGCCAAGUAGCGUGAAGGAUGACUGCCCUAUGGGUUGUAAACUUCUUUUGUAUGGGAAUAAAGUGCAGUAUGUAUACUGCGUUGCAUGUACCUUAUGAAUAAGGAUCGGCUAACUCCGUGCCAGCAGCCGCGGUAAUACGGAGGAUGCGAGCGUUAUCCGGAUUUAUUGGGUUUAAAGGGAGCGCAGGCGGGUUGUUAAGUCAGGUGGGAAAGUUUGCGGCUCAACCGUCAAGUAGCAGUUGAAACUGGCAUCCUGGAGUAGGGUAGAGGUAGGCGGAAUUCGUGGUGUAGCGGUGAAAUGCUUAGAUAGCACGAAGAACCCCGAUUGCGAAGGCAGCCUGCUGGACUGUAACUGACGCUGAGGCUCGAAAGUGUGGGUAUCAAACAGGAUUAGAUACCCGUGUAGUC
rnacentral:rRNA from 1 species